GGGAGAUCAUGGUUAUGGGGUGCUGACAGUGGGAGGUCAUGGUUAUGGGGUGCUGACAGUUGGAGGUCAUGUUUAUGGGGUGGUAGUGGGGGGUCAUGGUUAUGAGGUGCUGACAGUGGGAGGUCAUGGUUAUGGGGUGGUAGUGAGAAGUCAUGGUUAUGGGGUUGUAGUUGGGAGGUCAUGGUUAUGGGGUGGUAGUGGGGGGUCAUGGUUAUGGGGUGGUAGUGGGAGGUCAUGGUUAUGGGGUGCUGACAGUGGGAGGUCAUAGUUAUGGGGUGGUAGUGGGAGGUCAUGGUUAUGGGGUGCUGACAGUGGGAGGUCAUGGUUAUGGGGUGGUAGUGGGAGGUCAUGGUUA
rnacentral:lncRNA from 1 species